GUCACAAAUGCAAAGAAGUUACAAACAAGGAUAGAAAAUUGAAUGUUAUCUUGCCUCAAUCUUGUCUCUUUUAUAAGAGAGAUUUUCAUCUUGGUUUCGAUGGAUGUCGUUGAUGAAAAACUUUGACUUUAGCUGAUGCAUUUGCUAGAUUCCUGGAUGGCUUCCAUGUGCGUUAACUAAUAUGAUAUCCGCGCCAAUGAAUAAGAUAUUCCA
rnacentral:lncRNA from 1 species